rnacentral:rRNA from 1 species
CCUACGUGAGGCAGCAGUGGGGAAUAUUGCACAAUGGGGGAAACCCUGAUGCAGCGACGCCGCGUGAGUGAAGACGUAAUUCGUUAUGUAAAGCUCUAUCAGCAGGGAAGAAAAUGACGGUACCUGAGUAAGAAGCCCCGGCUAACUACGUGCCAGCAGCCGCGGUAAUACGUAGGGGGCAAGCGUUAUCCGGAUUUACUGGGUGUAAAGGGAGCGUAGACGGCAGUGCAAGUCUGGAGUGAAAGGCGGGGGCUCAACCCCCGGACUGCUCUGGAAACUGUACGGCUGGAGUGCAGGAGAGGUAAGUGGAAUUCCUAGUGUAGCGGUGAAAUGCGUAGAUAUUAGGAGGAACACCAGUGGCGAAGGCGGCUUACUGGACUGUAACUGACGUUGAGGCUCGAAAGCGUGGGGAGCAAACAGGAUUAGAUACCCCAGUAGUC